rnacentral:tRNA from 1 species
GAGGGUAUAGCUCAGUGGGAGAGCGUGUGCUUAGUGUGCACAAGGUCUGGGUUCAAUCCCCAGUACCUGCA